GCCGCUGAGUUUAAGCAUAUAAAUAAGCGGAGGAGAAGGAACUUACAAGGAUUCCCCUAGUAACGGUGAGCGAACCCGGAGCAGCCCAACUCGAGAAUCAGGCGUCUGUGCCGUCCGAAUUGUAGUCUGGAGAGGCGUCCUCGGCGACGGACCGGGCCCGAGUCCCCUGGAAAGGGGUGCCUGGGAGGGUGAACUGAAGCGAACUAGGCAAACUUGAGUAUCAUGCUUACUAGUGGUAAUAUCAUACUAGCAUUCAUUUUGGCUUUCAGAGUACUUAGCACGACAGUAUGGCACUCUCCUAUGCUUCCUAUAUAGCAUCACACAGAAAGUGAAUACCGGAGG
rnacentral:rRNA from 1 species